UACGUAGGGUGCGAGCGUUAAUCGGAAUUACUGGGCGUAAAGCGUGCGCAGGCGGUUUUGUAAGACAGACGUGAAAUCCCCGGGCUUAACCUGGGAACUGCGUUUGUGACUGCAAGACUAGAGUGCGGCAGAGGGGGGUAGAAUUCCACGUGUAGCAGUGAAAUGCGUAGAUAUGUGGAGGAAUACCGAUGGCGAAGGCAGCCCCCUGGGUCGACACUGACGCUCAUGCACGAAAGCGUGGGGAGCAAACAGG
rnacentral:rRNA from 1 species